AGAGUUUGAUCAUGGCUCAGAGUGAACGCUGGCGGCGUGCUUAACACAUGCAAGUCGAACGAGAACGGUCCUAGCUUGCUAGGAUGUCAGCUAAGUGGCGGACGGGUGAGUAAUGUAUAGUUAAUCUGCCCUUCAGAGGGGGAUAACUACUGGAAACGGUAGCUAAUACCCCAUAUACCUUCUAGUGUAAUACUAGAUGGGAAAUGUCUUUUCGCUGAAGGAUGAGACUAUAUGGUAUCAGGUAGUUGGUGGGGUAAGAGCCUACCAAGCCAAUGACGCCUAGCUGGUCUGAGAGGAUGAUCAGCCACACUGGUACUGAGACACGGACCAGACUCCUACGGGAGGCAGCAGUGGGGAAUAUUGCACAAUGGAGGAAACUCUGAUGCAGCAACGCCGCGUGGAGGAUGACGCAUUUCGGUGUGUAAACUCCUUUUAUAUGGGAAGAUAAUGACGGUACCAUAUGAAUAAGCACCGGCUAACUCCGUGCCAGCAGCCGCGGUAAUACGGAGGGUGCAAGCGUUACUCGGAAUCACUGGGCGUAAAGCGCGCGCAGGCGGUUUGAUAAGUUGGAUGUGAAAUCCUAUGGCUCAACCAUAGAACUGCAUCCAAAACUGUCAAACUAGAGUCUGGGAGAGGAAGAUGGAAUUAGUUGUGUAGGGGUAAAAUCCGUAGAGAUAACUAGGAAUACCAAAAGCGAAGGCGAUCUUCUGGAACAGUACUGACGCUGAGGCGCGAAAGCGUGGGGAGCAAACAGGAUUAGAUACCCUGGUAGUCCACGCCCUAAACGAUGAAUGUUAGUCGUUGGAGUCCUAGUGACUUCAGUGAUGCAGCUAACGCAUUAAACAUUCCGCCUGGGGAGUACGGUCGCAAGAUUAAAACUCAAAGGAAUAGACGGGGACCCGCACAAGUGGUGGAGCAUGUGGGUUUAAUUCGAAGAUACGCGAAGAACCUUACUGGGCUUGACAUUGAUAGAACAUCGUAGAGAUACAGUGGUGCCUUCGGGGGAGCUUGUAACAGUGCCUGCACGCUGUCGUCAGCUCGGUCGUGGAUGUUGGGUUAGUCCCGCCAACGAAGCGCCUCU
rnacentral:rRNA from 1 species